AUUCAGCUGCCACUCCAUAGGGCAUGCUGGGAAAUGCCAGAACUGGUCUUGUUAUGGCCAUCCUCAGCCUCAGGAGACUUAAGAAGAAAAGAGAAGAAAAAAGUCGAUUCCAUGGAGAGUGCAGUAUUCUUGUAGGGUGGGUGGCUCUGGAUGCCUGAUUCAAAAGCGGGGAAAGGGUAGCUGGACUCCAAGGAUCAAGGAUCAAAGAUCAGCUGCUAGACAUCAAAGUCAGAGGCCCACGGCAAAGGCCCACGGCAAAAAGUCUCAACAAAAAACAGAUUAUCAUGUUGGAAAAAAGAGAAAAAGGGGGCAUUUUAUUAAAGUCUAAGUUCUAAGAUUCUCACAAUUCUUAUACCCUACACUGGAACUGGACUUCCUUCUCAUGCAAGAGCUGUGCGAUCCUGACCUGUUGCUGUUUGACACGGGUCUCGAGCAUGUGCACCUGGGCUCUGAGCCGCUCCUGCUCUUGGAAACAGUCCUCCAGCGCCUGCAAAGAAUAAGCUCAAGCUUGAUGAGGAAACUUGGUCAAGAAUUCCCAUAGUUACUUCAAAAAGGGAUGAAAGGAGGUUGAGUCUUUCAGAGCAGUGGUGACAAGGAUGAAACUGAAUAUCGACAUUUUUCCCACUGAAAGAACUGCAAGAAGAAAAAGAAUUUAUAAUCUACUUUGAAUUUUUUGAGACCAGAGUUGAGUUCAGAAGCAAGUUGCUCCAGGAGCUCAGAUUCUGUUCCAGCCAUCUCUCGUCUAAGUGGCUGAGGAAAUUCUCUUGGUGGUUUGGUGGAGGGUGAGUGGUACAAUUGCCCAUAUGGAAGAGCAAAAAUGUAACCCCCAAA